AGUUUGACUUAAAUCGAUUUAAGUCCGAUUACAAGGGAGAUUAGUUCCUGAUUUGAUCAGGAUUUGACUCAAUUAAUUCCUGAUCUGAUUAGGAUUUAAUUAAGGGAUUUGGUUCUUAAUUUGAUUAGGUUUAUUAUCCUUUUGAGUCUAACCAAAUCUGAUUUGGUUUGGAACUAAAUUAGAAACUAAUCUAGAAUCC
rnacentral:lncRNA from 1 species